rnacentral:lncRNA from 1 species
CGGGGUAACAUGUGUAUCUUCACCUUGCUUUUCUUAAUCAAGUUCAACUCAUUAUAAGUGUUAUAUUUCUCUUUUUUUGUUCAUCAGUUCAAAAUAAAAUUAAUGAAGAAUGAUAGAUCGGAAGAAGAAGGAAGCAUCAUUAUGUACAUCAAAAGAAGAGAUGAUGGCUUUGAGAUUGAAACAAUGUUGCAGUACGAGGAUCGGAUGGUCGAGUUUGAAAGUAAAUUGAAGUAUCAUUCUCCAGAGGCAAAAAUGGUCAACAUUUUGAUUUCAUCCACACACCCAGACUACAAACGGUUGCAAGUUGACGGUUUACUUUUGGCGAAGCAUUUCGGACAGUUCAUCAUGACAGUCAAAGGAGGCGUCGAGUCAAAAUGGCUGGACACAACAUACAAUGCUCAUCUCAAAGUCUGGACCGAGCAAGAGAAAGGCAUCCUGCUGUCGUCAAUUGACUCCUCUCAGUUAUCGAGUAAUACACAGUUUGUUUGGAUCUGGAAGUCGGAAGCUUUUCAUACAAGUUUCAAUAGUUUCUUCCGAUAUAACGGUCUCACGCAACAGUUCCUGUCAAAGGUUUUCUUCUGGAAUCCAAAUGAAGAUUUCAAAAGUAUUUGCAUGGGAAGUCAAAUAAACAACAAUGAUAAUUGGGUGUUCACGGCGAAUGCGACAGUUUUAGCACCAUCCUCAACAAACUGCAGUUUCACAUCGUAUUUUCAACUGCCCGACAAUAGAGAAAUGCUUCACGUAAUGGUUGGCAAACUUCUCCUCCUGGACCAAUACAAUUUUAUCAACCACGCUCUUCAAUACUCAGUUUUCCCAAAUCAAGUCAAAUUUCGUACCUUCAGUGAGCUUCAAAUUUCUCCAGACGAAAUGAAUGGCCUCAUCCUCUUGCAAAACAAAGAAGAAGUCCCACCAUUCUUUUUGAACAGCUUCAAAGCAAAGAUUGUAAAAGGAGUGUACAAUGUCACCAAUGUUCUUAGUACUGUUCUGCUCAGACGAAGCCUCGUUUCUUUCCUCGAGUACAAGAAGCCUUCUUCCAGACACAUUAUCAAGUUAGUCCAAUUUUUAUUUUACGUUAUCAUAUCCCUAAUAGAAAAGACUUGUAUCACUAUAAAUGGAAAGUCAAAAGUCAAAAUUUCAGCUCAUUUUAGUAUGUUAAUAGCUUCAUAUUAA